UACGUAGGUGGCAAGCGUUGUCCGGAUUUAUUGGGUUUAAAGGGUGCGUAGGCGGCUUUGUAAGUCAGUGGUGAAAUAUGGCAGCUCAACUGUCAGGGUGCCAUUGAUACUGCAGAGCUUGAGUACAGAUGAGGUAGGCGGAAUUGACGGUGUAGCGGUGAAAUGCUUAGAUAUCGUCAAGAACACCGAUAGCGAAGGCAGCUUACUGGGCUGUAACUGACACUGAGGCACGAAAGUGUGGGGAUCAAACAGG
rnacentral:rRNA from 1 species